GCAUAUUGGUCUUUGCACUCCUGUGGAUGAGGGAGGAAAAUCGUGUGGGUUCAAUUCGUCACCCAUCAGCAGACCCAGAUGGCCGGCAGUCUCACAAGUCCAGGCUGAGCCUCCCCUAAGUAGCUUAGUAACAGCCAUUGUUACACGAUUGGCUUGACAUCAGGAACUGUUGCUGUUCUGUCCUCAGUAUUGGAACGUGGGUUGCAGCAACAUUCAAACUGGACAUUUCAAAAUGGCUUGGAUUUACAGAGCACUCAGAUUGGCUGAACAAGAUUCUAAGUGGUGCUGUUGUUCAACAGCACACUGUUUUGAUCUGUUGAACUUCAGCAGUGAGGAUUUAUUUUCUUAGACUACUCAGCCUUUUAUUCGGUAUUCUAAAGACACAUUCUUUUUUAACUAGUGUAUCCUUAUCUAGUGCAGUUUUAUCUUUAAAAAAUCAUAUGGUGCUUCUAAUGGAACCAAUGGAAGAAAAGAACUGAGAACAGGAGGUGACCGUUUGACCUGUAAAGGCUUAUCCCUUCCAAGUGCACUGUUUGUCCCAUGUGAUGGAAACCAAUUCUAUACGGAAGAAUCUAUUCGCUUUUGUUUUUCUUUGUUACCUCAGCUGGUAAAUGAUUCUGUUUCUAACAUUCAGUUCUAAAAUUUUACAAGGCUUCUCUUGUGUAAAAUGUAUCUCUGUCAUUUAGAAUUUUAUAAAAAAAAAUACAACCCUCCCCUACCUGUCUUUUGUUCUAGACUGUAUAAAUGUAAUUAUUUUGCGAUUCUAUUAUCCGGACAGAGUAUAGUUUGAUCAAAUCAACCCCUAAAUGUAUGCCCUGGGAGCAUAAAGAUAUUAUUAUUAUUAUUAUUAUUAUUAUUAUUAUUAUUAUUAUUAUUAUUAUUAUUAUUAUUUGUAUUACCGUUAUCUCUAACAUGUAAACAUUUUAACUUUCUAUAUGAUGGCAGUAAAUUAUGUGACUAGGGCUGCAAUGAAGAGAUUUUAACUUAACACACGUGUGUCCAUUUAGUAGCAGCACAUAACUAUUUAAUUUAAUUAUUUUGUUACAACGUUUAUCUAAACAUUCAGAGCAGCCCUGCCCAACCUCUGUGAAUUCAAUGUUCUUUUUUCAAAACAGUAAGAUGAUUAAUCUCAACCAGUCUUUGCCUGGCUAUUCUGAAUGCAGUUCUAAACUCGUAUUUUAUUGCCACAAUUGGGGCUUUAAUGAUUCGCCUGUCCUGUAGGUGGAUGACAGACAGUUUACAACCCUGGCAUUUUUAACUUUUUUGCACAUUUGGCACCUUUUGUUAGCAACAUUUAGAAACCUGGUCUGCUUGUAUUCAAGGGUCACUGAAGGCCACUGAGGUCAAUGUAUUUCUAGCUGACAAAAGCAGAAUUCACUGUGUUAACAAAACAUAGAUGUAGCUAAAAACAAUAUUAUCUGAGAACAUUCUGUCUUUAUUCAAAUAAAUGAAUAUGAUUUCCGUAAUAUGUUUUAAGUAUGUACUACAUAAAUUCAAGUUUGUAUGAACAGGUUUAUAUGAGUCCUAACUGUAUAUCAGAAGGAUUCUAGGAUCAAAAAGUUAGUGUCUUUUACCAUGGCAGCAAACUAAGACUGGCAAGUUACCGGUACAGCAAAAAGAUGAUUACUAAAAGGGGAAUGUACAGUAGUUUCCUUUCACAGUGAAACAAUAUUGUGUACUAUUUUGAUUUUAAAUAAAUGUUUGCAAUACUAUUUUUUUAGAAGUUUUCUUAGCUGCAGUAUGUCUGCCACAAAAACUCUAUAGAAUUUACUUUGUCUUUAGGGAAAAUCUAAUUGCUUUUCAGUGUGCUGACAUUUAAUAAAACACAUUUGUUUAUA